GUCGAACAGACCUAGAAAUUAAGCUGCUGCACUUAAAACUAAUUUUAAUCCAACAUCGAGGUCGCAAACUCCUCCAUCGAUAAGAACUCUCCGGAAAAAUUACGCUGUUAUCCCUAAGGUAAUUUAAUCUAUAUAUCCAUAAAAUAGGAUCUAAAUAAUAAUAAUAAUUAAAAAAUAAUUUUUGAGAGUUUCUAAAAUCUCAAUGUCACCCCAACAAAAUUUUUUAUAUAAAAAAUAAAAAUCAAUAUCCAAAUUAUAAAAUUAACAUAAAAAAUAAAAUUCUAUAGGGUCUUCUCGUCCCAUUCAAAAAUUUUAGCUUUUUAACUAAAAAAUUAAAUUCAAUAUUUAAUAUAAAGAAAGUUAUUCCCUCAUCAAACCAUUCAUACAAGCCUUCAAUUAAAAGACAAAUGAUUAUGCUACCUUCGCACAGUCAAAAUACUG
rnacentral:rRNA from 1 species